rnacentral:rRNA from 1 species
GUCAAAGGUUUGUGUAAGUCGAAUUGAAAUUGCUCAUCGAGUAUAAAGGUAAAAAGGAGCUUAACUGUAAAACUCACGUAAUAAGCAAUGAGAAAAGUUGGCCAUAGC